UAAGGAAUAUUGCUCAAUGGGAGAAAUCCUGAAGCAGCAACGCCGCGUGGAGGAUGAAGGGCUUUCAGCUUGUAAACUCCUGUAAAGAAGGAAAAAAUUCCCAUUAGAUGGGAAAUGAUGGUACUUCUAAAGUAAGCCCCGGCUAACUACGUGCCAGCAGCCGCGGUAAUACGUAGGGGGCAAGCGUUGUCCGGAUUUACUGGGUGUAAAGGGUGCUCAGGCGGAUUUGUAAGUCAGAGGUGAAAUCUCACAGCUUAACUGUGAAACUGCCUUUGAUACUGCAAGCCUAGAGUACGGAAGAGGUUGAUGGAAUAUCUGGUGUAGCAGUGAAAUGCGUAGAUAUCAGAUAGAACACCAAUGGCGAAGGCAGUCAACUGGUCCGUUACUGACGCUAAAGCACGAAAGUGUGGGGAGCGAACA
rnacentral:rRNA from 1 species